rnacentral:lncRNA from 1 species
AAAAAAGUUGCAUAGUAAAUUGGUCUCCCUCUUUCAUUUUGCAUUGCUAACACCUGUUUUGCUUCCAAAUAAACAGGGUCCUCUCCUUCUGACUUCCAUCCCAUGAAGCCUCUCAAUUCAAUGAUGCUUGUUCUACUUUCCCUGUGUUCACGCAGCACUUACUUUACAAUUUGCAGGUUUGAUAAGACUAAACAGUCCAAAGGUUUGACAGUCCUGACACCUGGCAUAUGAAAGAUGGAAUUCCUGAAUGGAAAUUAUUCCUAUUGAACUUCUCUGAAGAGUUUUGGCUGGAAAGAGGUAUCUUUUCCAAAGCCAGUACAUUCUCGGCGCUCCUUCAACUGGCUGAAAAAUGAGGUACUGAAUUCUUUGCUUAAUGGGAAAUCUACUGUUGUUUUAAUACAUAUUUUUUGGAACCCCCUUUUUUAAAAAAAUGUUUCUGUCAUCACUUUUCCUUUGUGGAAAUAAAUAUGACACCAUGUGGAAAAAAAUGUUAUAGCUCCAUGUGUACAGA